rnacentral:rRNA from 1 species
AUUGAACGCUGGCGGAAUGCUUUACACAUGCAAGUCGAACGGUAGAGGGGGCAACCCCUCGAGAGUGGCGAACGGGUGAGUAAUAUAUCGGAACGUGCCCAGUCGUGGGGGAUAACGUAGCGAAAGUUACGCUAAUACCGCAUACGAUCUAAGGAUGAAAGCGGGGGAUCGCAAGAUCUCGCGCGAUUGGAGCGGCCGAUAUCAGAUUAGGUAGUUGGUGGGGUAAAGGCUCACCAAGCCAACGAUCUGUAGCUGGUCUGAGAGGACGACCAGCCACACUGGAACUGAGACACGGUCCAGACUCAUACGGGAGGCAGCAGUGGGGAAUUUUGGACAAUGGACGCAAGUCUAAUCCAGCCAUUCCGCGUGCAGGAUGAAGGCCCUCGGGUUGUAAACUGCUUUUGUACGGAACGAAAAGGUCUCUCUUAAUACGGGGGACUCAUGACGGUACCGUAAGAAUAAGCACCGGCUAACUACGUGCCAGCCGCCGCAGUAAGAC